CCCUUAGAUGUUCUGGGCCGCACGCGCGCUACACUGAAGGAAUCAGCGUGGCUUUCUCCCUGACCCGAAAGGGUUGGGAAACCCGUUGAAUCUCCUUCGUGAUAGGGAUUGGGGCUUGAAAUUGUUCCCCAUGAACGAGGAAUUCCCAGUAAGCGCGAGUCAUAAGCUCGCGUUGAUUACGUCCCUGCCCUUUGUACACACCGCCCGUCGCUACUACCGAUUGAACGGUUUAGUGAGGGCCUCGGAUUGGUCUCGGCCCGCUCUUUACCGGGCGGCGCCGUUGGUCGAGAAGACGCUCGAACUUGAUCGUUUAGAGGAAGUAAAAGUCGGAACA
rnacentral:rRNA from 1 species